UACGUAGGGGGCUAGCGUUGUCCGGAAUCAUUGGGCGUAAAGCGCGCGUAGGCGGCCCGGUAAGUCCGCUGUGAAAGUCCAGGGCUCAACCCUGGAAAGCCGGUGGAUACUGCCGGGCUAGAGUCCGGAAGAGGCGAGUGGAAUUCCUGGUGUAGCGGUGGAAUGCGCAGAUAUCAGGAGGAACACCGAUGGCGAAGGCAGCCAUCUGGACCGACACUGACGCUGAGGCGCGAAAGCGUGGGAGCAAACAGG
rnacentral:rRNA from 1 species